rnacentral:rRNA from 1 species
UACGAAGGGGGCUAGCGUUGCUCGGAAUUACUGGGCGUAAAGCGCACGUAGGCGGCUUUCUAAGUCGGGGGUGAAAUCCUGGAGCUCAACUCCAGAACUGCCUUCGAUACUGGAAAGCUCGAGUCCGGGAGAGGUGAGUGGAACUGCGAGUGUAGAGGUGAAAUUCGUAGAUAUUCGCAAGAACACCAGUGGCGAAGGCGACUUACUGGACACAUAUUGACGCUGAGGUGCGAAAGCGUGGGGAGCAAACAGG